GCUUGCUUCUCUUGAGAGCGGCGGACGGGUGAGUAAUGCCUAGGAAUCUGCCUAGUGGUGGGGGAUAACGUUCGGAAACGGACGCUAAUACCGCAUACGUCCUACGGGAGAAAGCGGGGGACCUUCGGGCCUCGCGCCAUUAGAUGAGCCUAGGUCGGAUUAGCUAGUUGGUGAGGUAACGGCUCACCAAGGCGACGAUCCGUAACUGGUCUGAGAGGAUGAUCAGUCACACUGGAACUGAGACACGGUCCAGACUCCUACGGGAGGCAGCAGUGGGGAAUAUUGGACAAUGGGCGAAAGCCUGAUCCAGCCAUGCCGCGUGUGUGAAGAAGGUCUUCGGAUUGUAAAGCACUUUAAGUUGGGAGGAAGGGUAGUAACUUAAUACGUUGCUAUUUUGACGUUACCGACAGAAUAAGCACCGGCUAACUUCGUGCCAGCAGCCGCGGUAAUACGAAGGGUGCAAGCGUUAAUCGGAAUUACUGGGCGUAAAGCGCGCGUAGGUGGUUCAGUAAGUUGGAUGUGAAAUCCCCGGGCUCAACCUGGGAACUGCAUCCAAAACUGCUGAACUAGAGUACGGUAGAGGGUGGUGGAAUUUCCUGUGUAGCGGUGAAAUGCGUAGAUAUAGGAAGGAACACCAGUGGCGAAGGCGACCACCUGGACUGAUACUGACACUGAGGUGCGAAAGCGUGGGGAGCAAACAGGAUUAGAUACCCUGGUAGUCCACGCCGUAAACGAUGUCAACUAGCCGUUGGGAGUCUUGAACUCUUAGUGGCGCAGCUAACGCAUUAAGUUGACCGCCUGGGGAGUACGGCCGCAAGGUUAAAACUCAAAUGAAUUGACGGGGGCCCGCACAAGCGGUGGAGCAUGUGG
rnacentral:rRNA from 1 species